CCAGGAAGUAAUCAAGCUCCAAGUCAGUCUGCUAACAAGAAAGAUGGUACUGUGCAGCCCAACUCUGGAGCGAACAGGACAGUAAUAUGGAAGAUGGAUAAUGGUAGGACCAUGAUCAUUACGAGUUCAGAAUUUACUCCUGAAGACGCAGCAAGGAUACCCAAGCGUCAGAGAGGAAAAAAUACCUUCCGUGGAGCACGUCAGCUAACCCGACAUCUCAUAAAGUACGGUCCGCCCAGACCCAAAGAUGAUGAAUCAGAAGAGUGGUUCUCUGCUGAUGAUGAUGACGAUGAUGAUGAUGAUGAUGAGGAUGAGUCGACCCUUAACAGUUUCAUGGAAAGAGGAUUGGAGUUCAAAGCAUGUACUAGAUGUGGGAUAGUCGGACACACUGCUAAUUUAUGCCUCCCCACAUGCCGCUGUGGUGAAUACACCCAAUACUCAGAUGCAUGCCCUUUGAGGAAGGUCACAUGUUUCCUGUGUGAGGGAACAGAUCAUGUGCCUAAGGAUUGUCAGCGGAACUCGGUCCUAGCUAUGACCAAGAAAGAACAAGGGAUAACCGUGCAACCCAUUCGUCAACCAAUGGCGGUCGACAAUAACAGUCUCAACCCUUCUGUUCUUCCACCAACCACAGCUCUAGUGGAAGCCAACCAUGGAAGAAGCAACGUCACCAAGGAUGUUCAUAAGUCACUGCUUGUUCCAGUUUCAGCUACCAAAUGUCGUAAGUCAGGACACUGUUUCAGUGAUUGUCCUUUUCCAAGAGCAACAAAGGCAGCCCGCCACUAUUCACAGGUUACCCACGCGGGCCACGACACCAAUCGACACUUGAAGGUGCAACCUCCGCCUCAACGGAUUAUCGUCAAGGGCACCGUCAAAGGCUGCAUUGCUCCACCGGCAAUCGUUUCAAGCCUACAACACCAAUGCCAACAGGGUAAGCAUUGCCAGGAGAACAACAGCUCGCUACAGCUACAAAGAGGCAGUACGCUCCUUCGUCAGCACCCGCAGCAAGUAUCGGCAGCACCAGGUCAUCCGGCUGCUGUUAAUCCUAGCAAUGCACCUCGUAUUGCUCCAAUCCGGAGGCCCAUCGACAAAUCACCGCUCGGUAAUCCCAUGAGCAAGAAGAUCCCACCUGCUACAGCUGUCAAGAGGAUUGCCAUUCCCUCCCCGAAGAUCAAUGCCUAG
rnacentral:lncRNA from 1 species